rnacentral:lncRNA from 1 species
AACCAUAUAAUAGGUUAUUGCCCCCGUAGCAGUGGACAUCACUGCCAAAAACGGAAAGGAAGACAGAAAAUUUGAGAGAAUAUAGACUCCUACACCAUAAUAACCACUCAUUCUUUCUUUGUAGAAGACCUGUAUCCAGAGGGUAAAAGGUAAAAGAACUAAAUGUCACAAUCCUCUUGUAAACAUGUUUGUAACUUUUUCAUUUUGCAUCAAAAACUUUCCAUACCUUCAUUUCUUCUAAGAAAGAAGGGAAGCUCCCAAUGGACAUGAAUGUCAUGAAACCUGAGAUAAAUCCGGCACAUGAUCCUCUCGCAAAAAUGGCUCUGUAAGUCGUUCCAACUCCAUGAAAGAUUGUUCCAACGCACAAAGAUAAGGCAACGUAGGUAGUUAUCCUUAUCCAGUAGUAUCCCAAAUCUCUGGACAUGUUCAGACAUGAUCUCCGAGUCAGCAUUGAUAAUUCCUUCCACCUUUUGGUUUCGCAUUUGCUUUUACUUUCAAAAUCAUGUCCUUCCUGUAACAUGCUGGCCUUUACUUCCCACAAAAUAUGUUUUGAAUUGUUGCAAAAUGGAGUAUUAAUAGUUAUGUGAACCAUUGUAUAUUGAUCUUUUUCCUGUGCAUGUCUUUAAAUUCAAGCACAUGUGUUUUCUAAGAGUCAUGAUCUCUUCUACGAAAGGAUUUCUUAUAUUAGUGCAUUUUCACAAGAAGCCAAAAACUAGCUAAGAAAUAAAAAACAAAAUGAGGUUCUUAGAGUGUGAAAAGUUCACCUUUCUCUAUUUAUCUCCCUUUGUUUUUACGACACACGAUGAAUCCAUCAAUGUUAUACGAUGUUUUUUUCAUAGCUUAGCUAGCUGUAUAACAGUUUCAGCUCAUGCGAAGAAUAUCAUUAAUUACGUGAAGUUUUUAUGUUCUGUAAACAAUAGUUAGUUAUAAGGCUUCUUACUAUGUUUGAUAUUUCCUUGAUUCUUUCCCUUGCAGUGGUUGCAUACUCAGACCAUCGGUAUUUUUCUACGAGUGUUGCUUUGAUUUCUGCAGUUGAUAAUGAUACUUCUUCCUGUAUUAAAGGAAUAAGGAAGACAGUGAGAAAGAAGCAAAUUUGAUAUGUGAGUCACCUUUUGAGCUAUAGGAUCCUGCUUUGCUAAUUAUAUAUACGUUUCAGCUGUAGCUAGACAAAGUUAAUUUCUUUUGCAUGUUCACCUUUUAAUAAAAUUGAAUUUUCCGAGAAAGAAGGAAAACAAGAAUAACCAAAUUUUAAGAAAAUAAUAAUUAUAGGGAAAAAAAGAAAGAUAGACAAAUAAAUGAAACUUGAUAUAAAGAAUGGUUAUAUAUACUUGUCUUGUUUGAGAGGCCGUGAUUGUGGCUGUGACAGCGUCAAAGUCUGAAUUGAUACAACGGAGGAAAUGAUCAGAAGGGUUUCUUCUACUUGGACACGGGAAUCCCGCUUUGGCAAAGAACUGCAUGCGCAAAUACCAUAUAUAUGGAUAAACCGUGUCAGCUUUUCACCUAUUAAUGUUCUAAACACAUGAUUUUUGUAAUUGUGUCAGGAGGAUAACAUGAAAAUUUGCUUUAGAAUAUGAAUACCUGAGUUGCCUUUUGUGCAGGUCCAAAGUAUACUGUUUGACCCCCAGAAAGAAGAAAAAGAUGAUCAAAAAGUGCAAAAACCUCACUACUUGGUUGGUGUAUAGAAGAGAUAACAGUCUUGGCAUCAUGAGCCAAAUUUCUGAGAGUUUGAGCAACAAAAUAUGCUGAGGCACUAUCAAGACCAGUGGUGGGUUCAUCAAGGAACAAGAGGGUAGGUCUUGUGAGGAUUUCAAGAGCAAUGCUUAGCCUUCUCUUUUCUCCACCGCUUAUACCUCUCAAAUGCCAAUUCCCUAUUAACCGAUCUGCACAUUCUUGAAGACCCAUUUCCAUAAUUGUUCCCUCUAUUCUCUCAUUCACCUCUUCUUUCCUCAUGCUUCCUGGCAGCCUUAGAUUCGCUGAGUAAUAUAUUGUCUCUCUCACUGUUAGAGUUCCCAGCAUUGUGUAUUCUUGUGUCACAUAAGCCUGUGUGUUAUAUGUAUAUCAUAUCAUCAACUAUUUAUUCACAACCAAAUAUCAAACACCUUCAUCAAAUUCAUUUUUCUUUUACAAAUUUAGUGCCAUUUUUUACUACAUAGACUGAUACUUACAGCACCUCCAUACUCCAAUCUCCUCUUCUUUCCAUUUAAAAAUACACUUCCAGACAUGAUAACGUUUCUGGAGAGUCUUCCUGCAACCAAUUAUCUGAUGUUAAUAUAUAUAGGUUUAGCCAUAAAUAAUUAAGAAACUCAACAACACCACUAAACUAGCUUUUAUUUUUUUACAGGUAAAGAUAAUUUUAUUAAAAGAAUUAGAAGUGGACAAGAAAUAAAAAUGUCACUUUUACUAGCUUAAAAAAAUUCUGAUGUAGAGUUACUUAGAAGAAAAUCAUAUGAAACACGGGAUCUCUCUAACUUAAACCUCUUUACAUUGACGGAAAAUAAACUCGAUCAAACAAUCUAAAUUGCUAUAGAACAUUGUGUGUAGUUUUAUAGUUUUGUUCUUUUCCUUUUCUAUGUACUCUUUUCCUUCUUAUUUGAUUAACCCCUUUCUUGGACACCAAUUAAUGGAAGGAAUGUUCUAUAAAAGCUCCCCUCACACUUCACAUUAAUGCUCAUCUCUUAUGUGACAAUACAACCUGAAUGUAUAGGAAAGUUCACAAAUUGAAUUGGGAAAACCUGAUGACAUUGUGAGAAAAGGCAAAGUGGUAGGAUAGGAUAGUGAAUCUAGGAGGAAGAACAAAAUUAUCUGCUUUUUUUCCUACACUGGGAUGGUUAUACUAGAGAAAAGAUUUAAUAAUAAAACAUGAUAAGGGCAAUUGAAAAUAAUAAGAAAUAUAUAGAAUUACUUUGUUUUACGUGUCAAAGUAUUAGUGAUGGGACAUAUUGGACCAUGUUAAGGAGAGAUAUCAUUUGAAUAUGGUCAUUAAUAUUACCAGAGUACAAGCAUUAAAUUUUGGCUGCAAAAGUAAACUCAAUAAUGUCUAGAGGUGAUGAAGUAAAAAGUUGUAUGCAUGAUUGUUUUAAUCAGAUGAGUAGAAAGGUGGAAGAAUCAACUACUAUAUAUGAUUGAAAAAUUAGGAGGAGAAAGUAAGCUACAUGUUGCUAACUGAUAAAUUUGAAUCUUGAUUUCAAGAAUGGUUAAACAAACAAGAAACAUGAGUAAAUUUCUUAAGAAGGAGAUAAAUUUGGGAAGAGAUCACAAAGUUGGUUGUUUGCUUACCUAUUGUUUUUCAUAUGAGCUUCUUCCAAAAACCUUUUUUUAAGCAAAAGUGUCACCAGCAAAACCAUUUUCAGGUAUACGUUUAAUACACACAUCCUAUCUGUUAUUUAUGCUUCCAAACUAGAGAAAGAUAAAAAAAAAACAGUUUGUCUCCCAAUUUUAUUUUCUUCCAGCUGUGAGUUCUUGUCCUCUAAUCCCAAAAUUCACCUCAUAAAUUCAAAUAAUUUUAAUAUAUAACACAUGAAAGUGACCACACAGUUGAUUAAACUAAUUAAGUAAUGGAAGUCCUUAGAUUUCCUUGUUAGGAAGGGUUAUAGUUAUAAUAAGUUACUUGUCUUGGAACAAUAUCAGUCUUCCCUCAUUCUGAUUUUAGUGUCAACUCUCAUUCUGAUUUUAGUGUCAACUGAUACUCGUAAUAUUCUGCAUAUGUCUUUUGAUACUUAUUGAACUGCACUAAAUUAUAAUUGAUUUUUUUUUUCUGAAAUGUGAAUCUUGCAUGAAAAGAUGAAACAAUUUUAAAAUUCUAUUGUGACACCAUAAAGGUGUCGUUCAAAUAUUUUCCUUAAAAAAAGAAAUUCUGCAUAAUAUUAGAUGAUUUGAAGUCCAUAACCACAUGACCUCAACAAGGAUACUUACCAUGUUUGGUUUGCUCUUUGAUUCAAAAACCAAACAUGAAAGACCAUUAAUUUUGCCAUGAAAGUCGUAUACAAAGUGCAAGAAAAAUAACAUGCACAUACACACAGAGAAGGAAGUAGAGAUGAACCUGCCAAGGCAUCAAGAAGAGUAGAUUUUCCAGAGCCAGAAGGACCCAUGAUUGCCAUGAUUUUGUUGGGUUCAGCAUAUCCACUCAACCCAUUAAGCAAUCUCUUAGUGUGUCCAUUUCCAAAAUUUGGAAGCACAACACUUAAAUCUUCCCACACAAGAUACAUCCCUCUCUUCUCUGAAACUCCCAUUGUUUCACCACACUCAGCAACACCAUUUUCAUUGGCAGUUGCUGCUUCUAUCUCCAUUUCUAUAAAAUCCAAGACAGGCUUUUGUUGAUCAAAACAAAGAGGGAAACAAAUAGCAUAGAUACUCUGAUAUAAAUGCAUAGAUAUAUAUGCACACUGAGAUGUGGUUGACAGAGAAGAAAAAUAUCUAGUGAACGAAAAUAAAAAGUGAAAAAAACAUGCAAUAUCAACAAAACCAAUUCAAUUUUUACUUUGUUUUCAUCUUAUCAAACAUGCAAUAUUAUAUUUUACUAUUUCUCUUUCCACUCUCAUAUUCCAAUUUGGAUCAUUCUUGGUGUAUUAAUUUGAUUCAACUCCCACAGAUAGAAAAAUAAUAGUGACGUACCUUGUAUCAGUUAUGGCCAUGCAGGUGAAGGAUAAAGACAAGUCUGGAGUACGGCUCCGGGGAUAUUUAAAUUAAAG